ensembl:rRNA 5S_rRNA 5S ribosomal RNA
UGCCACAGCCAUGUCACCCUGCAGCCCAAGACCAGUUUCUCAUUGAAGCUAAGCAGGGCUGAGCCUGGUCAGUACCUGGAUGGGAGACCACAUGGAAAAGCUAGGUUGCUGUUGGAA